rnacentral:rRNA from 1 species
UACAGAGGGGGCUAGCGUUGUUCGGAAUUACUGGGCGUAAAGGGCGCGUAGGUGGCCUGUUAAGUCGAACGUGAAAAUCCCCGGGCUCAACCCGGGAACUGCGUCCGAGACUGGCAGGCUCGAAUCCGGGAGAGGGAUGUGAAAUUCCAGGUGUAGCGGUGAAAUGCGUAGAUAUCUGGAGGAACACCGGUGGCGAAGGCGGCAUCCUGGACCGGCAUUGACGCUGAGGCGCGAAAGCCAGGGGAGCAAAGC